rnacentral:rRNA from 1 species
CCAAUAGCGUAUAUUAAAGUUGUUGCAGUUAAAAAGCUCGUAGUUGAAUUUCGGAAUCAAUAUGUUGGUCGUGCCUUGGUACGUACUAAUUUAUUGGUUUCUUCCUUCUGACGAACCUUGAUGUCAUUAAUUUGGUGUCUUGGGGAAUCAGGACUGUUACUUUGAAAAAAUUUGAGUGUUUAAAGCAGGCUCACGCUUGAAUACAUUAGCAUGGAAUAAUGAAAUAGGACGCUUGAUUCUAUUUUGUUGGUUUCUAGGAUCGACGUAAUGAUUAAUAGGGAUAGUGGGGGGCAUUAGUAUUCAAUUGUCAGAGGUGAAAUUCUUGGAUUUAUUGAAGACUAACUACUGCGAAAGCAUUUGCCAAGGAUGUUUUCAUUAAUCAAGAACGAAAGUUAGGGGAUCGAAGACGAUCAGAUACCGUCGUAGUCUUAACCAUAAACUAUGCCGACUAGGGAUCGGAUGAUGUUAAUUUUUUAAUGACUCACUCGGCGCCUUACG